GUGGGGAAUAUUGGGCAAUGGGGGAAACCCUGACCCAGCAACGCCGCGUGAAGGAUGAAGGUUUUCGGAUUGUAAACUUCUGUCCCAUGAGACGAAGGAAGUGACGGUACCAUGGGAGGAAGCCCCGGCUAACUUCGUGCCAGCAGCCGCGGUAAUACGAAGGGGGCUAGCGUUGCUCGGAUUUACUGGGCGUAAAGGGCGCGUAGGCGGAUCAGAAAGUCAGAGGUGAAAUCCCAGGGCUCAACCUUGGAACUGCCUUUGAAACUCCUGGUCUGGAGGUCGAGAGAGGUGAGUGGAAUUCCGAGUGUAGAGGUGAAAUUCGUAGAUAUUCGGAGGAACACCAGUGGCGAAGGCGGCUCACUGGCUCGAUACUGACGCUGAGGUGCGAAAGCGUGGGGAGCAAACAGGAUUAGAAACCCCGGUAGUCC
rnacentral:rRNA from 1 species